GAUGCAAACUUUUCGAACCCAAGAACCACGUACUUUUGCCAUUCAAAACAUGUAGAGGUUUACUCCUGUCGAGCUUGCAUUUCUGGCAGAAUAUGCGAAGACUAUGAACCUAGUUACAAAGGCCCUUGAUGAGAGACGAAUGUGCAAAUGGGGUCGAGGUCUACUUGAAUUCCAAUAAAGUUUGAGAAAAACAUGCUCUUCGAGUUUGUUGUCUUUGACAGCAUUAUUAUAUUUUUGUAUGAGAUUUUUGACCAUGUCUUGGGCUCCAUGUAGCACUCAUCAGCUAUUAAAUUAAGCUUCUAUUUCUUACAGUCGUGUCAAUUAUAUUAAGUCCAACUAGUUUAGCUUUAAA